rnacentral:lncRNA from 1 species
UUCGCCCCCAGGCCCCGAUGUGGGUCAGUGACCUGUGACCGGGUGGGCUAAUCCCCGUAAAGGAGAUGUUAGAAGAAACAUCUGGGAAAUUGAAGUGGACCAAGACAGAUGAAAAUUACCAACUGGAGCAAUGAAUAAGAGGCUGCCAUUGUUAGAACUUAAUACAAUAUUGCCUGAAGACAGUUUUGGGCAGAGUAUGGUAUGUGGACGUGACCUACGAGGAGUUCAUCUUUGUGUUGGCACCACCACCACUACCUAUGUCACCACCACCUCCACUAAUACCACCCCGUCACCUUCGACACCAUCACCUCUGGCAAGGUGAUGUUAAAGACUAAACCUUUGGCAAACUAACAACUGAAGCAUCAAGAAAGUCCUGUCACAGUAGCCAGCACAGUGGCCCAGGGCAGUAGUCAGUCCAGGGCAGCAGACAGCACAGUGGCUCAGGGCAGUAGUCAGCACAGCGGUCCAG